UACAGAGGUCCCGAGCGUUGUUCGGAUUCACUGGGCGUAAAGGGUGCGUAGGUGGCGGGGUAAGUCGGAUGUGAAAGCUCGGAGCUCAACUCCGAAAUGGCAUUGGAAACUACCUUGCUCGAGGGUUGGAGGGGGGACUGGAAUGCUUGGUGUAGCAGUGAAAUGCGUAGAUAUCAAGCGGAACACCAGUGGCGAAGGCGAGUCCCUGGACAACUCCUGACACUGAGGCACGAAAGCUAGGGGAGUAAACAGG
rnacentral:rRNA from 1 species